ACUGCUAUCGGGGUGGGACUAAGACAUGCGAGUCGAGCGUCUCUAGCUAUGUUGAGACGCGGCAUACGGCUCAGUAACACGUGGCUAACCUACCCUCAGGACGGGGACAAACCCGGGAAACUGGGGCUAAUAUCCGAUAGGCGAGGAAUCCUGGAAUGGUUCUUCACCCAAAGGACAUUGGAAACAUGCUUUCUCUGUCGCCUGGGGAUGGGGCCGCGACCGAUCAGGUUGUUGGUGAGGUAAUGGCUCACCAAGCCUAUAACCGGUACGGGCCGUGAGAGCGGUAGUCCGGAGAUGGGUGCUGAGACAAGGACCCAGGCCCUACGGGGCGCAGCAGUCGCGAAAACUCCGCAAUGCACGAAAGUGUGACGGGGCUACCCCGAGUGCCGUCCGCUGAGGAUGGCUUUUCCUUGGUGUAACUAGCCGGGGGAAUAAGGAGAGGGCAAGACUGGUGUCAGCCGCCGCGGUAAUACCAGCUCUCCGAGUGGUAGGGAUGAUUAUUGGGCUCAAAGCGUCCGUAGCCGGCUUAGCAAGUCUCCUGUUAAAUUCAGCGACCUAAUCGUUGACCCGCGGGAGAUACUACUAGGCUAGGAGGCGGGAGAGGUCGACGGUACUUCUGGGGUAGGGGUGAAAUCCUAUAAUCCCGGGAGGACCACCAGUGGCGAAGGCUGUCGACUAGAACGCGCUCGACGGUGAGGGACGAAAGCUGGGGGAGCGAACCGGAUUAGAUACCCGGGUAGUCCCAGCUGUAAACGAUGCGGGCUAGGUGUUGGGGUGGCUACGUGCCACUUCAGUGCCGCAGGGAAGCCAUUAAGCCCGCCGCCUGGGGAGUACGGCCGCAAGGCUGAAACUUAAAGGAAUUGGCGGGGGAGCACCACAAGGCGUGAAG
rnacentral:rRNA from 1 species